rnacentral:rRNA from 1 species
CUGGCGGCGUGCCUAACACAUGCAAGUCGAGCGAGGAGAUUCCUCGGGAUGAUCCUAGCGGCGGACGGGUGAGUAACACGUGGGCAACCUGCCUCAUAGAGAGGAAUAGCCUUCCGAAAGGGAGAUUAAUACCUCAUAACAUUGCAGUUUCGCAUGGAACAGCAAUUAAAGGAGCAAUCCGCUAUGAGAUGGGCCCGCGGCGCAUUGGCUAGUUGGUGAGGUAACGGCUCACCAAGGCGACGAUGCGUAGCCGACCUGAGAGGGUGAUCGGCCACAUUGGGACUGAGACACGGCCCAGACUCCUACGGGAGGCAGCAGUGGGGAAUAUUGCACAAUGGGGGAAACCCUGAUGCAAGCAACGCCGCGUGAGUGAUGACGGCCUUCGGGUUGUAAAGCUCUGUCUUCAGGGACGAUAAUGACGGUACCCGAGGAGGAAGCCACGGCUAACUACGUGCCAGCAGCAGC